AAACUACAAAGGAAUUGACGGGACCCGCACAAGCGGUGGAUGAUGUGGUUUAAUUCGAUGCAACGCGAAAACCUUACCCACCUUUGACAUGGCAGGAAUCCUAAAGAGAUUUGGAGUGCUCGAAAGAGAACCUGCACACAGGUGCUGCAUGGCUGUCGUCAGCUCGUGUCGUGAGAUGUUGGGUUAAGUCCCGCAACGAGCGCAACCCUUGCCAUUAGUUGCUACGAAAGGGCACUCUAAUGGGACUGCCGGUGACAAACCGGAGGAAGGUGGGGAUGACGUCAAGUCCUCAUGGCCCUUAUAGGUGGGGCUACACACGUCAUACAAUGGCCGGUACAGAGGGUAGCCAACCCGCGAGGGGGAGCCAAUCCCACAAAGCCGGUCGUAGUCCGGAUCGCAGUCUGCAACUCGACUGCGUGAAGUCGGAAUCGCUAGUAAUCGUGGAUCAGCAUGUCACGGUGAAUACGUUCCCGGGUCUU
rnacentral:rRNA from 1 species